AGUGAACGCUGGCGGUAGGCCUAACACAUGCAAGUCGAACGGCAGCACAGUAAGAGCUUGCUCUUACGGGUGGCGAGUGGCGGACGGGUGAGGAAUACAUCGGAAUCUACUUUUUCGUGGGGGAUAACGUAGGGAAACUUACUCUAAUACCGCAUACGACCUACGGGUGAAAGCAGGGGAUCUUCGGACCUUGCGCGAUUGAAUGAGCCGAUGUCGGAUUAGCUAGUUGGCGGGGUAAAGGCCCACCAAGGCGACGAUCCGUAGCUGGUAUGAGAGGAUGAUCAGCCACACUGGAACUGAGACACGGUCCAGAAGCCUACGGGAGGCAGCAGUGGGGAAUAUUGGACAAUGGGCGCAAGCAUGAUCCAGCCAUACCGCGUGGGUGAAGAAGGCCUUCGGGUUGUAAAGCCCUUUUGUUGGGAAGGAAAAGCAGCAGGUUAAUACCCCGCUGUUCUGACGGUACCCAAAGAAUAAGCACCGGCUAACUUCGUG
rnacentral:rRNA from 1 species